GCAUAAGCCCACGGGUCGGCAUCGACCAGAGGGAAAAGGAGCAAUCCGCUUUGAGAUGGCCUCGCGUCCGAUUAGCUAGUUGGUGAGGUAAUGACCCACCAAGGCAACGAUCGGUAGCCGGACUGAGAGGUUGAACGGCCACAUUGGGACUGAGACACGGCCCAGACUCCUACGGGAGGCAGCAUG
rnacentral:rRNA from 1 species